GAGGAAUGAAAGAUAAUAUUAGGUUGUGUUAUAUACAUAUAUAUAAUACAAUUAUCACUUGUUUCUUGAAUCAGGAUAGUAAAAUAAGUUUGGUACAAUUCCAAUCAGUUCAGUAUAGUUCUUUGGUUCAAGAACUAUGAGAACUAUGUGCACCCCUACAAGCUACUGCCAUAAGAAAAGCUUUAAUCAAGACAUGCAUUUGAGAAAUAGCAACAGAAAUCCAAGACAGUUCUCUCCACUAGAGCAGGAAAAGAUUGCGAGAUUGAAAGGGAAAACUCAACUAAACUAAGCCUUUAU
rnacentral:misc_RNA from 1 species